AGGAGAGGUAGCUCAGCAGGUAGAGCAAGUGCACGGAAGAUCCUUUCAUCAUUACCUUGAUUAAAAAACUUUAAAAUAAAAUCAGGUGUCGUCUAGGAAUCAUACUUCGAUACGCGUCAUCAGGUCACAGGUUCGAUCCCUGUCUUCCCUG
rnacentral:tRNA from 1 species